GGUGCAUUCCAUACUUGUCCAGUGGAUGAGAGCACUUUGGGAGGGUGAAGACUUUAUGGAUUCUCUGCUCUUCCACGGCCACUCCUUGCCGCAGGACGUUGGCUGCUGUAGGCGGCACCACCAGAUUCUCUUGCUGAAGCUCCGGCUGGAUUCUCAUAAGGGUUCCACCACAUCUGGCCCCUUGAUGUUGGGGUGAGAGUAGCUCCCUAAGGAAAAGUUGACUACCAGAUGCCUGUUACCAUGGCUCCAGAGCCCACUAAAGCUUUGAGUUCCUCCAGGAGAGGGUGGGUUUUGGCAGCUCCCCCUCCUGUUCAAACAACCCAGAAGCCAGGACACACCCUGCUGAUUUAGGAACGCUGGAGAGGAGCAUUUGCUGGA